UUUCUUGCUAUGAAGAGAAGAGUAUAGUAAAUCAGCCUACAGAGAGCCCUUGCUUGCUGGAAAAGGGUGGUGGGAUUUACUAGAAAAACAACUCGGAGCAUCGAAAGACGUAAUCUUGGCGAUAACAAGAAUAAAAGUGGCUUGAGCAAGAUAGGUGGCACCGCGAUGUAUUCGUCCUAUGC
rfam:Peptoniphilus sp. oral taxon 375 str. F0436 noncontiguous_finished_chromosome, whole genome shotgun sequence.